GACGAACGCUGGCGGCGUGCCUAAUACAUGCAAGUUGAGCGCUGAAGGUUGGUUCUUGUACCAACUGGAUGAGCAGCGAACGGGUGAGUAACGCGUGGGGAAUCUGCCUUUGAGCGGGGGACAACAUUUGGAAACGAAUGCUAAUACCGCAUAAAAACUUUAAACACAAGUUUUAAGUUUGAAAGAUGCAAUUGCAUCACUCAAAGAUGAUCCCGCGUUGUAUUAGCUAGUUGGUGAGGUAAAGGCUCACCAAGGCGAUGAUACAUAGCCGACCUGAGAGGGUGAUCGUCCACGUGGGGACUGGGACAGGGCCCAAACUCCUACGGCAGGCAGCAGUAGGAAAUCUGAGGCAAUGAAGAAAAGCCUGACCAGGCAGCGCCGCGGGAGGGAGGAGGGUUUUGGGAUCGUAAAUCUCUGUUGGUAGAGAAAAAGGGUGGGGAGAGUGGAAGGCACGUCAGGUACGGUAAACGACCAAGAAGGGACGGCUAAACAAGUU
rnacentral:rRNA from 1 species